CAGAAUUUUCUUGUGUAAAAUGAAGCAUCUUGGUAAAAUGAUGAGCAAAUGAAGAAACUCUGAACAUCUGGAUGACACGAGGGACGACAGUGGUGGAAUAGGACGCCCACAUUCAUAAACCACAUAACAGCAACUCAUGAACCGAACCCCUUCACGUGAUACCUGCUGGAGAGGAAAGAGUUUCAUCCCCUCUCUUGUUCAGCUCCUUUGGCCUAUAUCCUCUCAAAUGCUGCCAUCGUGUGGUGCAACUCAUCUAAUGUCAUGUUGUGCAGUGAAAAGUAUCCUUCUGGUGAGAACAUUUUACGGUCCGGUGCCUUGCUCAAAGGCAGCAACGUGUGGACAGGAGGAGCUGGGGAUCGAACUACAACACGCUACGGUUGAUCACCACUUUCAUAUUUGAUUUUUAAAUUUGGCCUUUUCUUUACGCCAGAUGUUCUUACUCCUGCAGCCUGAGUUUUGGGGGGGGGGGGGGAUUGAACCACCGACCCAGGAAGCAACGGCUAACCAGUUCUAGAGCCGCCAUUAUACAACUGACAUUAUUUUAUAAUACUGUGUAUUAGUAAUUAUAAUUAAUAAUUGAUAUUUUUAAGACAACAGAUAUAAAACAAGAGCAGGGACAGGGGACAUUACUUUCUCCAUCAUC